rnacentral:rRNA from 1 species
CACGAAAUUGUAUGAGCUAAUGUUAUAAAUUACUGUGUAGCAAAACAGAUCGAGAAUUUAAUAUUAGGGGUGAUAGGCCUAUCAAAGGCAAUGAUAGCUUGAUUUUUCUGAAAUGUAAUAGUACAUUGACGGGCUAAAAGCGCUAAGGCUUUUAACAAUUAUUAAGUAAAAUUAAUAUUCGAUGUACGUGUAAAAGCGUGUAUUAGUAUUAAAAUAUUAUUUGUGUUUAAAAUUUAUUUACUUUAGGAAAACGUUAAAUAAUACAAGAAUAUAAUGAAAAUGUUAAUAUAAGUAAUUAAUAGCUACUGAUAGUGAACUCGGCAUUAAGCUUUCAACUGUUUAUCAAAAACAUAGCCGUGUGGUGUAUACAUGGUAUUUUCUGCUCAAUGAGAUAUUAAAUAGCCGCAGUACCCUGACUGUGCAAAGGUAGCGUAAUCAUUUGUCUUUUAAUUGGAGUCACGUAUGAAUGAAUAUAUGGGGGCUUUCUUUACCAUUGGUAUUAGGUGAAUUUACUUAGUGAGUGCAAAUGCUCACUGAUAAAUAAUAGACGAGAAGACCCUAGAAAUUUUAUCUUGAUGUUUUUGUUGGGGCAACAUCGUAGCAGUUAACCUACGUUAUGUAUAUGAAAUAAAUUGGUAAAAAUAAAUUACUCUAGGGAUAACAGCAUAAUAUAAUAAUGUUUGUGACCUCGAUGUUGGAUUAGGGAGUUAAAGCUAGAA